GGGCCUCUAGCUCAAUGGUAGAGCUGCGGACUUUUAAUCCGUAGGUUGUGGGUUCGAGUCCCACGGGGCCCA
rfam:Tetrasphaera sp. Soil756 contig_7, whole genome shotgun sequence.